CAUUUCUCUGCUAUCCUCCAUCCUGGUCCCUCCCUUCCCCCCAUCUCCGUUCCCCUCCAACCCUGUGCCCCGCCAACGUUUUCUAACUGCCCUCUAUUCAGAUCCCCCCUCCGCCUCUCCUCUCCUCCCCUCCAUUCCCGUGUCCCCCUUCCCCCGCCGCGCCGCCUGGGCUGUCCGUGGGCUUGUCUCUCUCUCUCUCUCCUCAUUUAUUUGGAACGGUUGGAUAAGAAGUGCUCGGGCUCUCGCUCAGACUGAGGGAGCUGCCUCGAGGUGAUAUUUGAAUGACACCCCCUGGCACCAGCUACCCUUCUCAGACCCCCGUCCAGCCGGCUCCCGACGUCGACUGCGAUUCCGCUACCUCGGCGGGCAGCGAGGUUGGGGUGAGCCCCAGCUGCAGGCGCGUCUGGGCGGCGCCGCUGCAAACGAGUUGCGCACCUCGGGUGGCUCCGCACCUGCACCCGCACCCGCGGGGCUGAGCCCCGAAGGCUGCAGCUUCGGGGGAAGCGCGGUCGCCGAGGUCCAGCUGGUGGGGCGAGCGAAGUCGCCCCUCGGAGGAUGCUCUCGGAACUUGGGAGAGGAAGGAGGGAAGAGAAGAGGGGAAAGGGGCCGUCGAUGUUUUUGAUGUCUGUGCUUUAAUGGAGCCCACCAAUAUUGAGAAGACGGGGUUGGCGGAGGCAGCCGCACGCUGCUGCUAGCGAGCGCUCCAGUCAAAGCUGGGGCCAAGCACGGCGUGUCCGGGUGCCCUGCGGGGUGGACACUUGGCUUAGCACCGGGACACAGAGUAGCCACCGGGGUUGGGAGAUGGCGUUCACUUUGCUUACCUGUUGGCAAGAGGACAUACAAAAAUAACGUAAUGUGACAUCGUUGACAACGGUAGCUCUUUGAUUAGACAAAAGCCAAUUUUACCUUCCCGCAAAAGCCAGUUGACGCCGUUGGAACUUUUAUUUGCGGCAUUUUGGCGCCCUCUGGCUGUGUUUGGAUCGCUUUCAUGCUCGCCUUGCGUCCCAGCCAAGAAAAAAUCGAUUGAGUUGCAGGUUGUCCUCAAAAUGGUUCUGCCCUCAUGACCUGGGCGCGAAUUCAGGGACAGGGUCGCCCUCCAUAACGGGAGUGACAAACUGUAGCCAUACUUAGGGAGGCAGACGUCAAAGGCAAGUACAUCUGUAUUCAGCCGGGGAAAGGUAAGUGCAUUUUCACUUAACAGGAAAAUUAACUUAUCAUAACUUUAACUUACAUAUUUAAAUUAAGCAAAGUGACCAUGUCUACUCAAUGGGACUAGCUAUUUUGCAAUGGAAACACUUGAGGACCCUACUGUACACAUUUACAGGUCAUAGGAGGCAGCACCAAAUUAGAUGAAAAUGUUCAAAUUUGAACCAAACCAGCUGGAAAUGUUCAAAUUUAAACCAAAGGUAAGAAAAAAGCGGGAACUGUUUGUUUUUUUCUUUUUCUCUUUCUGCCAUUUAAAGUGAAAUAAAAGUUAGUGUAGUAAAAUACCAGGGAAGCAAAUUACAAAUGAGCUUGCCUCCAAAACAUUGUAUUCUUUUGAAUAUUUAUUUCCCUCACACCAGUACACCAUCUAUAAAGGCUAAAUGGAGGAUGCAGGUUUUCCCACCUCCUUUUGGAGACAGAUAUGUCUUUGUUGUGGGAGGCUGUCCUAUGCACUGUAGGAUGUUUGGCAUUCAUUGCUGGCCUCUGCCAGCAGCCAGUACCACCCUCCACACACACCACCAGCACCAGCACCAGCUGGGACACCCAAAAAUGUCUCCAGAUAUUGCCGAAUGUCUCCUGGGAGGCAAAAUCACUCCAGGCUGAAAACCAGUGAGCUACAUUUUCUUUCAACCUUUAUGAGAAAGUCUCUAGGUUUUUACCCUAUCAAAUUAGAUGAAUAUUUGCAAUGUUACGCUCAAGACAUUUCCUGAGUUUGUUAGAGGGGCUGCGUACUUGUUCAUUUAGCAUUCAGGGUUUUUAUCCUUGUGAUCUUGCCCGCAUGUAAAUCAUCUUAAAAUUAGCAAAUAGAUUUUCUCAUUGUAUUUGCAGUAUAAGCUUGUGGGUGUUAUCUUCCUUCUCCAUUCUCUUUUUCCAAUUUUCAAAAAAAAAAAA